rnacentral:rRNA from 1 species
AGGAAUUAAAAUAGCCGCUUUUGUGCUAAGGUAGCAUAAUAAUUUGUCUUUUAAUUAAAGACUAGAACAAAAGGUUUAACAUCUCAAUUAAUGUUUUAUAAAAAAAUAUUUAAAUUAUUUUAAUUGUAAAAAAACAAUUUUAAAAAAGAAAGACGAUAAGACCCUAUCGAACUUUACUUUAGUUUAACUGGGGUAGUUAAUUAAUUAUUAUUUUAAUAUAAUUAAAUAUUUAAUUUGACCUAAUAUUAUUAAUAAAAUAACUAAGUUACCGUAGGGAUAACAGCGUAAUAAAAUUUUUAAGACCUUAUUUAAAAUAAAGAUUGCGACCUCGAUGUUGAUUUAAUAACCUAAUUUACGCAAUAGUUCAUAAAGGAAGUCUGUUCGACUUUUAAAAAAUUACAUGAUCUG